AAAUUAUACUUUAUUAUUGUUUUUAUAUCUUACACUGAUGGCUGUCUCUCUUCACCCACAUUUCUGUUGUUUAUCCCUUGGGGGGUGGAUGUGGGGGGAGCUUAGCGGAUUGUGCGUUGAUCAUUGCAAUCGGUUACCCCUUCCUCCCCUCCUCUCCCACCUUCCUUUUUAAAACAAAAUUUUCUUUUGUUCCAAAUGUCUUUGCUAAUAGCCCACUGGAGGGGAAGAUGUCUGUGGGUGUGGUUGUGCUGUGAUGUCUCCAUUGUAUGUGACAGAGCCUUAGAUUCUGACUUGCCCAACCCACACCCCACACCUGGACUCCCACCUGUUACUUCAAAGCUGACUCCAACCUUUAGUUUUUAUGAUUACGUAGCAUUGGAGACUCAGAUUUCUAAUGCCUCUCUCAGAAUCCACGUCAGGAGUGAGACUCUGCCAAUGGGGAGCACUUGCAAAUUCUUCUGGAACUGAGCAACAUUAAGGAAGACAUGAGACACAGCUUCCUCGGCAUUUCAUUGGAACAUAGGACAAAGAGUCCCUAUUGCAGAUCGGGAGUCAUCAGAUGGCAUCGAGAGAGUGGUGGAUUCAAACUCAUAUCCUCUGGUUCCUGUCCAUGGCUCCACCUGACAACUGCUGCCUCCUCCCCAAGCCAAGCUGGCUUGGGGUUCGCCUUCUGGCCUGUAGGUAGUGUUUGUUGAGUCAGGUGGAUACUGAGUGUGCAGGCAUUCACUUUGUAAAUAAAAAGGCCCAAACCUUCAAACUCAUUGCCGUUGAGCCAGUUCUGACUCAGAGGGACCUCACAAGACGGAGUAGAACUGCCCUGAGGGCUUCUGAGACGGUCAGUCUUGAUGAGAACCGUAAGCUUCAUCUCUCAAAGAGCAGCUGGGCUUUUCAAACUGCUGGUCUGCCACCAGGCACACUCAUUUGCUACAAUCAGUUGCAAAACCUAUUACCAGCAGUUUAGUGUUGACGAAGUAUAGAAAUAUCAAAGUGAGUGAAUGUUUUAAAGAUAAAUUGUAGUUGAUUUACUGCCAUCUCCGCGCUGGGAUUCCCAAGUACGAUCUUCUCAUGCAUUUUCUGGAGUUGAUGAGAAUGCCGGGUCCACCGCCGCUUCCUAUAUCUGAGCUGUAGACACAGCGAUUCUUACGGUGGAACUGCUCUUGUGGUGGUGAUGACAGUGUCCCGGAGAACUAUUGUUUUAAAAGGUUUUAUCAAAAUCUAUACAUGUGCCGAAGUGUUUUAUGCAUGGGACUAUGGCAUCUACCUUGUGUGUGGGCAAAAGUCUGCGGACCACUAGGCCAAAUGCUGAGCUGUGUACCUUGUGUGCCAUGGUAUUACAUACUCUCGUUUUCAAAACAGGAUCAGCUACUUUUAGGGAAUGAUCUGGUUAUCCUCAGUGUGUUUAUAUAUUCAGAUAAUUUAUACAAUAUGUGUGUAUGAUACAGUGUGUGAUUAUAAAUGCCUAUCCCUAUAUUAUGUGUGUGUAUGUGUGUAUAUAUACACGUGCACACGCACUAUCUUUUGAAGGACUUUGCCAGGGUGUUUUCUGAUCUUUCCAAUACCUUCAAAUCCAAGAGAUGAAACGUGAUGCAUAUUCAGACAAAGCUGCCAUUGGAGUUAAAGUAAUUUAGUUUGCAGAAUAGUCUCUUGGAUCCUUUAUUAAUCCUUGUUUUCGCCAUUUAAUAUAUGAAUUGGUAGAAUGUAUAAUAAAAUAUCAUUGUUGAAUUUGGCUUUUCUAUACCACUAGUUAAGAAAUCCAGACUAGCGUUCGCUAAGAAACUGGCAUGUUGAUGCAACCUCUAAUGCUUCCUAUUUAAUUAGGUUCCUUAUUCCUAAUGUCAAUUAUUUCAAGUUGAACUUUGUAGAUUUUAGAGUUAGUAGGUGACUUUUGAGCAUAUUUUCCCCCCACAGAAAUAAUAUCAAUGCUUAUGUAGCAUAACAUGACUGGGGACUGAAAAAUCAAGUGAAUCAUCAAGUUAUUUGGGAAUUUUGGUUUUCUUACAAUGCACUGCUGCAUGGUUGCUGUCUCCAGUUUCCCCCUGUGCGUCUGCUGUCAGGCAGAGAGCCACUCCAUUGGAUCCUUCAGGAAAGGAAGCAAUGCUGUAGGGUGACGGAGUGCUGCAGGAGCUGUGGCCUUCACCCAGGUGACCAAACAGUUACCAUUUGUUUCAUCACCAAGAAUACUCUGGCCACCUGGACAAAUGAAUGCAGCUUCUCCACAUGCCUUAUUCCCACAGAAAUGCUGAUGAUGCUAGAACCGGCUGGCUCUAGGAGUACUAAUGUACUUUUUAGAGACUCUACAAAAUACUAUUCUGUAAAAACUAUGCCUUUAAACAGACGUUGAUGGGUUGUAUUUCUUUUACAAUAAUUGUGCAUCUAAAGUUCAAUUGUGAUGGAUUUUGAGAUUUCUGUAUAUUUAAAAGCCUGCCCCACGUAAGUUUUUAUUCUUAAGAUGUGUGGUACAUUACUAAUAAAACCAUGGAUUUCUAUUUCUGUAAAGUAAUUGUAGCAAUAUUCCUAGAUGCUACCUAAAGGAUUGUUUCUAUCCAUUUGCCAUUAUAAAUACAUUUAUCUUUUAUCUUAUGUGACAGCCAGAAUAUAUGAACUAGAUUGAAACUUUAAUAUAUAAACUCUCAACAUGGUGUGACAUUCUUCCUGUUGAUAUAAUUAAAGUUAGUUUAUAAUUCCUUA